ACUGCGUUGUCUCCUCCAUCGAAACGUUAGGAGAAAUUUGAAAUGUAGUUGAGAUUUGAUUAUAUGCAUUUUAUAUGGUCACAGGAGCAGAUUCAACGCCGAGAGGAUGGAUUACGCCCCAGACAGUGUCCUGAGCACGACACUUAGGUUUAUCACUGAUCAUGUAUCAGUCUUCCCUAAUGAUGCUGCAUUACUACCAUCACCAAGUGAAAAUUGUUCCCUAGUAGCAGUUGCCCCAAAAUAUGGAAUUGUCUUUGCUGCUCUUGGGACGACUUUCAAAGCACUCUUGGCUGAUGGUGAGACGAAAGAUG